rnacentral:rRNA from 1 species
AUGGGCCAACCUCUAGCCUUUUGCCAGCGUACGGGUGGCUCCCAGUUCUGGCAGUCCGUGGUCCAGCUUCUGCCCGUCCUCCACUUCGGUACGUCCAUCUCUAUUGGAUCCGGGGCCUCGACCCUGUUCUGGUUCGAACGCUGGCUUGGGGACUCCCCCUUAGCUGUGUGUUUCCCAGAACUAUUUGCCAUUGCGGCUGACCCUCGGGCCUCUGUCGAGACGGCCCUUAUUGACUUAGGGCAUCUUGCUUUCCGCCAGCCCUUCGGCCCUCUCGAGGUGGCUGCUUGGGAUUCCCUCCUCCAAGACAUGGCCCUGAUGCCGAUGAACAUUGAGGAGGACCAGGAUGCCAUUUCCUGGCACCUGGAGUCGUCAGGUCGCUUCUCCAUGAAGUCCUUGUAUGUGGCCAUCGCGCCAUCGACGGCCCCGGAACCGUUUAACCUGAUAUGGGACAUCCUCCUCCCUCUGAAGAUCCAGAUCUUUCUGUGGCAAUGGAUCCACAAACGCCUCCCCUCUGGUGUCGAAGUCCUUAUGCGUAACGGCCAGGGUGAUGGGAUCUACCCCAUAUGUGGCAUGAUCGAGGAUGCUAACCACAUCUUCUUCUCAUGCUCUACUGCCCAGUUCAUGUGGGCCUGCUUCCGCGAAACUGUCGGUGGCCAGUGGUGCAAUACCAAUUUCCCCAACUUACUUGCGGGGAUGAACACCUCCCCUCCCCGCUAUCUCCAUAUUCGAUGGCUGUGUGUUGGGAUCCUCGCCUGGACGCUUUGGAACAUUCACAACAAGCUUGUCAGUCAGAAAGUCCCUCUUCGACGUGCGACUGACGCUAUCUUCAAAAUGUGUGGCUACUUGCAGCUUUGGCGGCCGCUUAGCCGCCCCCAGGACCGGGACAUCAUCACCAACCUCCUCGCCGAUCUUCGCUCGAUGGCGCUCCGUGUGGCCCCCCGCUCCCGCCCCCUCCGCCUGAGCCCGACUAGGCUGUCGGUCUGCUCUGCACCUUGCGCUGUGCGCCGUGCGCUGUGUUGUGAGUGUUUAGGGCUUUUUGUGUUGUGCCCUCAGCUCGGACCCUCGUGUCUUUUUGUAUGCUUAUGA